CCAUAGGGUGGGACCAACUCCGGGAAACCGGAGCUAAUACCGAAUAAUACGUCAAGAACGCAUGUUUUGGAAAUCAAAGGAGGCCUCUCUAUAGAAGCUUCUGCCCAUGGAUGGAUCCGCGUCUGAUUAGCUAGUUGGUGGGGUAAUGGCCUACCAAGGCGACGAUCAGUAGCCGGCCUGAGAGGGUGAACGGCCACACUGGGACUGAGACACGGCCCAGACUCCUACGGGAGGCAGCAGUGGGGAAUCUUCCGCAAUGGGCGAAAGCCUGACGGAGCAAUGCCGCGUGAAUGAAGAAGGCCUUCGGGUUGUAAAGUUCUGUUGAGAAGGAAGAAAGAUCUAAGAGCUAAUACCUCUUAAGUUUGACGGUACUUUUCGAGGAAGCCCCGGCUAACUACGUGCCAGCAGCCGCGGUAAUACGUAGGGGGCAAGCGUUGUCCGGAAUCACUGGGCGUAAAGCGCAUGUAGGCGGGAUAUUAAGUCAGGUGUGAAAACUACAGGCUCAACCUGUAGAUUGCAUUUGAAACUGGUAUUCUUGAGUAUUGGAGAGGAAAGUGGAGUUCCUAGUGUAGCGGUGAAAUGCGUAGAUAUUAGGAGGAACACCAGUGGCGAAGGCGACUUUCUG
rnacentral:rRNA from 1 species